UAUGAAAAAAAUUAAAAUCUUUCUUGGGAACUUUUUUUAAGAGUAAACAUUGAUGGUGACUAGAGUGAUGAAUCUUCAUGUCUUCCUACAAACCUAGUCUGAGUCUGGACCUUGAAUUCUUAUAAAACCAUAUGGAGGCUCAUAACUCCCUCAUUACCUUGCAGGAAGUUUCUAGCAUUUGAAGAGAGAUGCAGAAGAACCCAUUCAUUAUUGCAUCCAGCACCCAGAAAAGUUCCUAACACAUACACCGAGAGUGGUCAGCCAGAUGGGCGGGAACCAGUAUGCUGUUUCUGCUAUCCAGUACACCUUACCAAGAUUUCACAGAACCUCUGACUAAUACAGCAAUAUUGAUUUUAUCUAAAGGGAAUUACUUUUAAGAAAAUUUUCUCCUAAAUCGCCCUGGAAGAUGCUCUCUUGUUUAACCAAAUAGUGUUGAUUAAAAGGUUGAAAUGAA